AACGAACGCUGGCGGCAUGCCUAACACAUGCAAGUCGAACGAGACCUUCGGGUCUAGUGGCGCACGGGUGCGUAACGCGUGGGAAUCUGCCCUUGGGUUCGGGAUAACAGUUGGAAACGACUGCUAAUACCGGAUGAUGACUUCGGUCCAAAGAUUUAUCGCCCAGGGAUGAGCCCGCGUAGGAUUAGCUUGUUGGUGAGGUAAAGGCUCACCAAGGCGACGAUCCUUAGCUGGUCUGAGAGGAUGAUCAGCCACACUGGGACUGAGACACGGCCCAGACUCCUACGGGAGGCAGCAGUGGGGAAUAUUGGACAAUGGGCGAAAGCCUGAUCCAGCAAUGCCGCGUGAGUGAUGAAGGCCUUAGGGUUGUAAAGCUCUUUUACCCGGGAUGAUAAUGACAGUACCGGGAGAAUAAGCCCCGGCUAACUCCGUGCCAGCCGCCGCCGUAACAC
rnacentral:rRNA from 1 species